UAAUGUCUGGGAAACUGCCUGAUGGAGGGGGAGUAACUACUGGAAACGGUAGCUAAUACCGCAUAACGUCGCAAGACCAAAGAGGGGGACCUUCGGGCCUCUUGCCAUCAGAUGUGCCCAGAUGGGAUUAGCUAGUAGGUGGGGUAACGGCUCACCUAGGCGACGAUCCCUAGCUGGUCUGAGAGGAUGACCAGCCACACUGGAACUGAGACACGGUCCAGACUCCUACGGGGGCAGCAUG
rnacentral:rRNA from 1 species